GUCGGCGCGAGCGAAUGAGAACGCGCGCGGCCGAGCCGGCCAGCCAACCGCCGGACAGGGCGCGAGGCUCCCGGCGUCGCCAGGUGCUUUCCUGAGUCUCAGCUCACUUCAUCAGAUAUGUCUGAAAAUCAAAAUGAGACUCUGCUGUGGGGCAGGUUACAAGGCCUGAUCCCUUCAGAAGGAUGCUCAUUUCGACAUGUCUGACAAAGUUUAGGCUGAAAGUCCACCCAGUGAGUGCCCAUGAGCAGAGUGAAGAUUCGAACCGAGGCCUUCCAGAUACUGGUUUGACAGUCUUACCAACUGCUAUGCAUUGGCUCAGGAAAGUUCAUAUUGAAAUAAAUGUUGAAAUUUCUUAAA